CUCGCUUCACCCCGACGCCCGGGCGUGCGCCUCCUCCCGCCGGCCUGCAGGCCCGGGGCCUCCGUCUGCCAGCUCGCCGCUGCUCCUCGCGGCCCCGGCUCGCGUUCAGGCUGUCGCCCGGGCCGGCGCGGCCGCGGGCCACCGCUCCCCCUCCCACACCUACCCCGCCCCCUCCCCGCCUUUUCCGCCCUCCCGUCCCCUUCCCUCGGCCCGCCGCCGCCGCCGCUCCAGAUGAGGUGAUGGCAACGGCCAACUUCGGCAAGAUCCAGAUCGGGAUUUACGUGGAGAUCAAGCGGAGCGAUGGCCGAAUACAUCAAGCAAUGGUAACAUCUUUAAAUGAAGAUAAUGAAAGUGUAACUGUUGAAUGGAUAGAAAAUGGAGAUACAAAAGGCAAAGAGAUUGACCUGGAGAGUAUCUUUUCACUUAACCCUGACCUUGUACCUGAUGAAGAAAUUGAGCCCAGUCCCGAAACACCUCCACCUCCAACAUCCUCAGCCAAAGUAAACAAAAUUGUAAAGAAUCGACGGACUGUGGCUUCUAUUAAGAAUGAGCCUCCUCCAAGAGAUAAUAGAGUGGUUGGUUCUGCACGUGCACGGCCUAGUCAGCUUCCUGAACAGUCUUCCUCUGCACAACAGAAUGGUAGUGUUUCAGAUAUAUCUCCAGUUCAAGCUGCAAAAAAGGAAUUUGGACCCCCUUCACGUAGAAAAUCUAAUUGUGUGAAAGAAGUAGAAAAAUUACAAGAAAAACGAGAAAAAAGGAGACUACAACAGCAAGAACUUAGAGAAAAGAGAGCCCAGGAUGUUGAUGCUACAAACCCAAAUUAUGAAAUUAUGUGUAUGAUCAGAGACUUCAGAGGAAGUUUGGAUUAUAGACCGUUAACAACAGCAGAUCCUAUUGAUGAACAUAGGAUAUGUGUUUGUGUAAGAAAACGACCACUCAAUAAAAAAGAAACUCAAAUGAAAGAUCUUGAUGUAAUCACAAUCCCUAGUAAAGAUGUUGUGAUGGUACAUGAACCAAAACAAAAAGUAGAUUUAACAAGGUACCUAGAAAACCAAACGUUUCGUUUUGAUUAUGCCUUUGAUGACUCAGCUCCUAAUGAAAUGGUUUACAGGUUUACAGCUAGACCACUAGUGGAAACUAUAUUUGAAAGAGGAAUGGCUACAUGCUUUGCUUAUGGGCAGACUGGAAGUGGAAAAACUCAUACUAUGGGAGGUGACUUUUCGGGAAAGAAUCAAGAUUGUUCUAAAGGAAUUUAUGCAUUAGCAGCUCGAGAUGUCUUUUUAAUGCUAAAGAAACCAAACUACAAGAAGUUAGAACUUCAAGUAUAUGCAACCUUUUUUGAAAUUUAUAGUGGAAAGGUGUUUGACUUACUGAAUAGGAAAACAAAAUUAAGAGUGCUAGAAGAUGGAAAACAGCAGGUUCAAGUGGUUGGAUUACAGGAACGGGAGGUCAAAUGUGUUGAAGAUGUACUAAAACUCAUUGACAUAGGCAACAGUUGCAGAACAUCCGGUCAAACUUCUGCAAAUGCACAUUCAUCUCGGAGCCAUGCAGUGUUUCAGAUUAUUCUUAGAAGGAAAGGAAAACUACAUGGCAAAUUUUCUCUCAUCGAUUUGGCUGGAAAUGAAAGAGGAGCUGAUACUUCCAGUGCAGACAGGCAAACUAGGCUUGAAGGUGCUGAAAUUAACAAAAGCCUUUUAGCACUCAAGGAGUGCAUCAGAGCCUUAGGUAGAAAUAAACCUCACACUCCUUUUCGAGCAAGUAAACUUACUCAGGUGUUAAGAGAUUCAUUCAUAGGUGAAAACUCUCGUACCUGCAUGAUUGCCACAAUCUCUCCAGGAAUGGCAUCCUGUGAAAAUACUCUUAAUACAUUAAGAUAUGCAAAUAGGGUGAAAGAACUGACUGUGGAUCCAGCUGCUGCUGGUGAUGUCCGUCCAAUAAUGCACCAUCCACCAAAUCAGAUCGAUGACUUAGAGGCGCAGUGGGGUGUGGGGAGUUCCCCUCAGAGAGAUGAUCUAAAACUUCUUUGUGAACAAAAUGAAGAGGAGGUUUCUCCACAGUUGUUUACUUUCCACGAAGCUGUCUCACAAAUGGUAGAAAUGGAAGAACAAGUUGUAGAAGAUCACAGGGCAGUGUUCCAGGAAUCUAUUCGAUGGCUAGAAGAUGAAAAGGCUCUCCUAGAAAUGACUGAAGAAGUCGACUAUGAUGUAGAUUCAUAUGCUACACAACUUGAAGCUAUUCUUGAGCAAAAAAUAGACAUUUUAACUGAGCUGCGGGAUAAAGUGAAAUCUUUUCGUGCAGCUCUGCAAGAAGAAGAACAGGCCAGCAAGCAAAUCAACCCGAAGAGACCCCGUGCCCUUUAAAUUGGCAUUUGCUGCUUAAGGAUCCCCAGAACCCUCACUACUGUAACAUACAAUGAUUCAGCUGUAAGGGCCAUUUGAAAGUUUGAAAUUUUAAGUGUCUGUGGAAAAUGUCUUGUCCCUUCACCUGAAUGACAUUUCAAUUUUGUGAAACACUCCUUUGUCUACAAAAUGCUUCUAGUCCAGGAGGCACAACCAAGAUUUGGGAAUAGUGAAGCAUUUUGUUUCAUUAACCCAAAUAUUGAUUUACUUUUGGAGAUCCUUGCCAAUUUUAUUUUCUAUAUGAUGAAGUAAGAUUGUGGACUUGAUCCAGAGGUGAAUAGUGGGGGGAUGCCACAGCAUUUCCUGUUAACUCGGUUCGAUUUUUAUAGCAAGACUGAGCAGUUUUAACUCCUUUGCGUGCAUGCAUACCUCAUCAGUGAUUGUACAUACCUUGACCACUCCUAGAGACCGCUGUGCUCACCUCUCCCUGCUCUGUGCCUUGACUAAGGCUAUUGACCCUAAAUUUCUGAAGCACAGCCAAGAUAAAUUACAUUCCGUAUUUGUCCUUGUAAAUUACCUUUAUUGUGUGUACAUUUUUACUGUAUUUGAGACAUUUUUUGUGUGUGACUAGUUACUUUUGCAGAAUGUGCCAUACAUUGAAUGGAACUAAAGUCUGUGACAGUGGACAUAGCUGCUGGACCAUUCCAUCUUAUAUGUAAAGAAAUCUGGAAUUAUGAUUUUAAAACCAUAUAUGUGGUUAUAAUUUUCUUAGCAUUUCUUUGUAAAGAACUAAAAUAUAAACUAGUUGGUGUAUAAUAAAAAGUAAUGAAAUUCUGAGAAGAGUUUUAUCUUAGGAUAAUACAUAUAUGCAGUGUGUGUUCCAGUGUGGUAUUAACAAGACUAAUAGUGCAAUUUGAUCCUUACCAAUACCGUUACGUAAGUUGAAGCGUCCAUCGGCACCCCAAAAUGUAUCGUUUAAAUGUACUGUUAAAGGAAAUUGGCUUCUGAUGCAUGAACAUUUACAUGUACAUCGAAAGUAGUCUGUAAUAGAACUGUUAGUUUAAGCCAAGCGUAGACAGUACAUAACUCCCUUGAAAAAGAAUUAAGCUAAAAAAGAGUUGACUUUGCCUUAAAAGGCACAUCUAACCCAGGCUCCAUCCAUUACCUAAUGUGUGAUGUUUCACCAUUAUUUGGUGAGAAUCACCGAAUUCUCACCAAUAAACUGAUCUAGGGUAUGCUACUUUUCAAAUGGUGGUACUUAUCUUUACAGAUUGCUACUCCGAGGAAGAAAACUGGCCACUUUUCAUGUACAUAUUUUGUUAAAAGAUUUAUAUUGCUCUCUAGGAGUUUUCCCUCAGUUCCCAGGAUGGAGUCCAAGAGUAGAUUAAAAACAACAAAAAGUCUCCCAAGGAUAUCUUGUUUGGAUUGACUCUAAGGAACUACUAGCUCAUCCAUAUGGGCCCAAGGGAAGCUAUGAAUAGAGAGUCACAUGAGCCAGAUUCCUACUUCCCUGUUCAUAGAACUCAGAGGGUAGUGGUGGGAAAUCCUAACACCAUGGUGAAAUGCUCCUCUGUAAACUUGAAAUCUAGAACAAAUGUAGAUUUUCACAAUGUGCUUAUUAAUAAAUGAAAUCUAUGGAAUGAGUUUUAGAGAUAAUUUACUUCAAUACAAUCACCUUUGUUUUGGAAGGGACUCAGGUUUUCUUGCAGCUGUAAGAUAUGUUCUAUUUGUGUUUAUUUCAAAGAGAAGAGGAACUGUUACUAUUGACCUUGCAGAGGCUUUUUAAAAAGGUAGAUUUUGAGGCUAACCAACCUUCAAAGGGCAAUAAAAGAACUUGCUCUUUUAAAGCACAACAGAUUAGUCUUAAUUUAUUAUUUAAAUUAGAUGAGUACUAUCUCUGGAAGGUCUCCUUAUAUCCAAAUAUGCUGCUUUAUACUGUAAUGGCUUCAUUCUGAUCAGUAACCAAGGUAUAUAAAGAAUUGGUACCAGAAAAGAUCUUGGUAGUAUAAUCCAGUCCUUCAGUUUUACAGAUAGAUAGGCAAAACCGAAGGCCAGAAAAGGGACUAAAACUGAGCAGUUCAUAAGGGGAAAGGGAAAUAGAGGGAAUGCUAAAUUAAAUCUUAAAAUGUUGCUGUAAGGAUACAGACAGUACAAGUGAACUUUGCAAAGUAGUUUUGUGAUACUUAAAAAAACCUCUUAAUGUUUAUGUAACAAAAGUGGCUUGAUGCAGCUAUUAUUUAAAGAAUAAUUUUUUGGAUCUGGAUUAAACAUUAUUUACUUUCUCAGACUUGAAAGCUGAUAUCCCUCUUAAUAAGUAACUAAGAAAAUAUACAUUCUUUUAAUUAUAUAGGAAUGUUUUAAUACAUCACGACUUGAAGCCAGAUUUCAAAAAAAUCUGUUUAGGCAAACAAUUUAUCUUCCCUUCUAGGUUUACUCAGUGUACCUUUGUUAAAAUAAUUCGGAAACACUCCUGUUAAGUUAGGUAUAAAGAAAGGCAAAUAUCAAUGAAGAUAUUUUUUUAUUAAUUUCCUUAUAUAAAUAAUCAGCUCCUAUAAUUCUUAUUAAAGGACAUUAACAACAUUUAGUAUUAUAUUGAUAAUGAUUUAAACAUAGUAGCUAACUAAGACUUGUUUAUGACAUCUAUUAAAUUUUCAACCUGACAUUUUACAAAUAGCUUGAAACUAAGCAUCAGGUAUAUGAAAAAGUACUGGAAAUUUUAACUAUCCAUAAGUCAGAUGGAUACUGGGAGCCUGUAGUUGUAGGAAAAUGGCUGGUUGGGUUUUUUUGUUUGUUUUGAAAUUGAAGGGCAGAGAUUUUCAUUUUAAGGCCAGUUUUGAUUUAUAAAAACUCUGAAAUUUUGUUAAACCUAUGACUAUCUCCCCAAGAAAAAACAAUCUUAUAGUUCAUUUCAUUCUAGUUGAGCAUCCUUGUUUCACAGGUAAGGAAUCAUGCCCAGAAGCGAUACGCCUGGCACCACAUGGUGGCAGCUGCAGACUCAGGCUUACCCAGAGCUCUGAUGUAGCCUAUGAUGCUACAGGAUAGCUGAUGGGGGAGGCAAUGACAGAAGUUGUAAAGGAUAAAAAGAGAAAGAAUGAGAGAAGCAAGAUAAAAACAUUGUAAGAAACAAUUGUUUUACUGCAUACAUGAAUAACAAGAAAUGGUAUGGGGAAUAUGUGACUAGCGUAUUGUAGCUUUUUUACUACUUGAGGGACAAAGGCCUAAAGAGCUGAAGGCCUAAAGAGGUCCUCACAGUAAUAUAUAAUAGAAAAUACAAGAGUAACAUCUUUAUACAAUAAACUGUUAGAAAUGAUAAGUUUAAGUGUAAAGUUGUGCGUGUCUGCGGCUCUUGAACUUGAAGAUUAUCAUGUAUAGAUUGGACCCUGCCCUCUAUGUUCGAUUUUAAAAACAAACCAAAACCAAAAAAAAAAAAUUGGAGUACUUAGAAUUGACUGACUUACUACCUUGAAAAUUCAGAGUAAUAAAUGAUGACAACAGUAGUAUAAAUCAAAAAUAGUCAAGCACAUAGUGUCCCAGUAGAGCAAAAGCAUAGUUCAUCUUCUCAAAUUAUUAAAAGUAUACAAUCCCAGUUUCUUUUCUUGAAUUUGAAACAUUCUGUCUUCCAGAUACCUAAGAAAAAUGGAUACCUUCUGCAUUGAAUCCAUGUAGCAAUCUGAAAAAAGCAAGCGAAAUGAGAUGGUAUUGAAAAGCUAAUUUGUAGCACGUAACAGCGCACAGUUCCUAUACCAUGAAUUCUAAAACAUGAACACAUCAGCAGACAUAUGAAGCCCACCCACUCCUAACACUAGUCAUUAAAGUUUAUUCUUCAACUAAAUUUAUAACAUAUAUACUGGUUAAAACCACAUCAUUUUGCUGCCUCUUUUGUCUGUAUGUCUUAAGUUAUUAUGAAUUGGACUAAAAAUAUCUUCGACCUCCACUAUCCCAGUCCUAACAGCUCAUAGGCAUUUGUUCCAUUUCAACAUGGUAGGUGAACAAGAAGUUAUUUGGAAUUAGAGACACGAGAGAUGAAUGGCUAAUCUUACAUGUCCAUUCUUCCUCUCUGAGCUCACUGUUACUGAGGUUCAAAUUAAAUAUUUACACGCUGCUUUUCUCUGGAUACCUAUGUACUUAUGAGAUCAUAGUUAGCAAACUGCAUAUACUUAAUAACCUUGAAGAAGUCUGGUGAGAAUGAAGGAAAGUAAGAUGAAAUAUUUCUAUUUAGACCUGAGAUUAUUUUCAGGAUGGCUCAUAGGAACAGGUCAAGAUGGGUUAAGAUGUCUGAAAAAGGAAGAUAGGUACUUAAGAAUAAUGUUCAACUCCUAAGAUUAAUAUCUAAUAAACACUCAGUACUGCUAGCCUGCCAGUAUAAAAUAUAAACCCCAUUUGUCUUAGUUAUAUAGAACUGUGUUUCCAACUUAGAAAAGUCAAACCAAUGACUUCUCCUCAUUUUUUAUUCAGCCCCUAGAACAUGGAAGCUUUAAAAAUGAAUUGGCUCAACAGGCAAAAACUUCUGUGCAGUAAGUGAUGGUUUAUUAGUUAGGAAAUCAAAGUGUUAGUGAUUAAAAACAGUGAGUACAGGUUAAUAAUUACUUGGGUAAUUGAAGCCUUACUCUGCUUUCGUUAAGACUUACUUGCUUAAUUCAAGGAAAAUAAAUUUUGGUCUACAUUGCCCAGAUACUUAUGACACCUUUCUUUUACUUCAGGUGUGUAGAACUUGCCUCAGUCUACAAAACAGGCUACUUUGAAGAGACAAACUAUGAAGACUGACUGUGAAUGGGAGUUGGGGGAGGGGGUUGGACGGGAGGAGCACACACACCAGAGGGACACAGGCUUUCUCCAGGCUUGAACUGUUCUUUACUACUGUUCUUAAAGAAAAUGGUCACUCUGCUGCAGCUAACUAGCCUCCAUCUUCUACACCAAAUACUAUGCCAUGCCAUGGAAGUGCUAUGCAAUAACUCCCAGGUAGCACUUUAUACCGCUUAAAAGCCUUUAAAUCUAAUCUGAAGGUGUCACAGUAGAGAAAUGUAAACACUUAGGAAAAUGUAAUUACCUGAUGAAGUCAUCUAUGUCCAUGGAACGGGCACGCUUGUCACUAAAACCUGUGCUGGUUAGGAUUUGCUGUAUUUUAUCUGCUAUGCUGAAAUCUUCUGGUAUUAUCUAUAAUAUAAGAUUCAGAAUAAAUGAACAACGUAUCUUUAAUGAA